UACUACCUUAAAAGAGUGGAUAGGCCAAGCACCGUUGAUAUGUGCACCCUUCAUUUCAAACUGAAACUGGUUCGCUACUAUUCACAAACUUGUUUAGUUACUGUGUCAAAUUAUCUUUCAACUACAAUUUAUUGCUUUGCUUUCUUGCAACCACUGACUCUAUUUCUCUUUCUUCUCCAAUACAAACGAAUGCAAAGCAAACCCUUGAACUUUUAGUCUGCCUCACCUUCGUUUCUCCUCCCUCACGAUAGUAAUAAUCUAUAUAGAGAUCCAAAGCUAACAGUCUGUAGCAGAUUUAGUCCUAGAAACUUCUUUGAUCUUUAAGGGUGUUUUCUUUAUUAAGCCUUCAAACAUCAAUGAUUUGGGAUAAUCCAAGCGCCAAUCAAAAGUGCCCAUCCACUCUGUAGAUAAUCAGUACGAUCACCAUUUUGAGGUCCACCUCACCAAGAAGAAGAUCUCUGCUUAUGAAUACUGAUUUUUUAAUGGAAAUUAGUGAUUAUAGUGCAUGGAGGGAUAAUUAUGUGAUAUAUGGGGUUAUGUCAGAUUGCACUCUAAGGUUGUAGGAUUUCAAGUUCAUGAGUUGUCAUGUAAAAAAGAAAUGAAGGAAAUAGGAUGACACUAAUUAUUUUGCUUUAAUACCCAAGUUUUGGUAUUGCUAAUUUGUUAUUUUCAUAUGGUAAGUUCAAUAAUUGUAGUUACUAGCUAUGCAUUUUUUGUCACACUGUGUAUGUUGAAAAUAGUUUCAAAAUGGAUUUUGAUUUUGUAAAUUACUUGAAAGUCACUGUAGACUUCAAUUGAAGCAACGAAGGUCUUUGGAUACUUCCAUCAUCCCCAACCAAGCAAAGGGUGAAAGGUGCUUUGGGGGGGGGGGGGGGGGUGCAAAAUCCCACGUGGUGUUUCGAUAUUUUAAUCUUGUCCAAACAUUCUUUAGUUAACUGUAGUGUUUACUUGUGCUCCCAACAAAACGAGGUGGAGAAAGAGCACAUAAUUUCUUGUCUUUUUUUCUUGGUUAACUUGUCAAUAUUUCUUCCAUUAUUCAUGUUCAUUAU
rnacentral:lncRNA from 1 species